GAUGAACGCUGACAGAAUGCUUAACACAUGCAAGUCGAUGGGGAAGUGGUGCUUGCACCAUGGUAACCAUGGCGGACGGGUGAGUAACGCGUAAGGAACUUACCGGCGGGACCGGGAUAACAGCAGGAAACUGCUGACAAGACCGGAUAAGGUCAUUAAGCUGCAUAGCUUAGUGAUGAAAGGAGACGCCUGCGGAGAGCCUUGCGUCCUAUUAGCUAGUUGGAGGGGUAACGGCCCACCAAGGCGAAGAUAGGUAGCCGGCCUGAGAGGGUGGACGGCCACAAGGGGACUGAGAUACGGCCCUUACUCCUACGGGAGGCAGCAGUGGGGAAUAUUGGACAAUGGGGGCAACCCUGAUCCAGCAAUUCUGUGUGCACGAAGACGGUUUUCGGAUUGUAAAGUGCUUUCAGCAGGGAAGAAGGAAGUGACGGUACCUGCAGAAGAAGCGACGGCUAAAUACGUG
rnacentral:rRNA from 1 species